rnacentral:rRNA from 1 species
AGCAAUACCGCUGACGACCGGCGCACGGGUGAGUAACACGUAUCCAACCUUCCCAUAACUCGGGGAUAGCCUUUCGAAAGAAAGAUUAAUACCCGAUAGUACUUUAUUAAGGCAUCUUAAGAAAGUUAAAGAUUUAUUGGUUAUGGAUGGGGAUGCGUUCCAUUAGAUAGUUGGUGAGGUAACGGCUCACCAAGUCUUCGAUGGAUAGGGGUUCUGAGAGGAAGGUCCCCCACAUUGGUACUGAGACACGGACCAAACUCCUACGGGAGGCAGCAGUGAGGAAUAUUGGUCAAUGGGCGAGAGCCUGAACC